UCUCUGGUUGAUCCUGCCGGCGGCCACCGCUAUUGGAAUUCGAUUAAGCCAUGCGAGUCGAGAGGGGUUAAGCCCUCGGCAUACGGCUCAGUAACACGCGAAUAAUCUGCCCUUGGGUGGGGGAUAAUCCCGGGAAACUGGGAAUAAUACCCCAUAGGUCUGGUAUGCUGGAAUGCUUCCAGGCCCAAAGCUCCGGCGCCCAAGGAUGAGUUUGCGGCCUAUCAGGUAGUAGUGGGUGUAACGGACCCACUAGCCUUCGACGGGUACGGGUCUUGAGAGAGAUCGCCCGGAGAUGGACUCUGAGACACGAGUCCAGGCCCUACGGGGCGCAGCAGGCGCGAAAACUUCGCAAUAUGGGAAACCGCGACGAGGGAAUUCCAAGUGCCAUGGCAUUGCUAUGGCUGUUCUCCAGCCUAAAAAGCUGGUGAAGUAAGGGCCGGGUAAGACGGGUGCCAGCCGCCGCGGUAAUACCCGCGGCCCGAGUGGUGGUCAUUGUUAUUGAGCCUAAAGCGUCCGUAGCCGGUUUAGUAAAUCCUUGGGUAAAUCGGGCAGCUCAACUGUCCGAAUUCCGGGGAGACUGCUAGACUUGGGACCGGAGGAGGUCGGAGGUACUCCGGGGGUAGGGGUGAAAUCCUGUAAUCCCCGGGGGACCACCAGUGGCGAAGGCGUCCGACUAAGACGGAUCCGACGGUAAGGGACGAAGCCCUGGGGAGCAAACGGGAUUAGAUACCCCGGUAGUCCAGGGUGUAAACGCUGCUCGCUUGAUGUUAGUCGGGCUCCGAGCCCAACUAGUGUCGGAGAGAAGUUGUUAAGCGAGCUGCCUGGGAAGUACGGUCGCAAGACUGAAACUUAAAGGAAUUGGCGGG
rnacentral:rRNA from 1 species